rnacentral:rRNA from 1 species
GACGAACGCUGGCGGCGUGCUUAACACAUGCAAGUCGAACGGAAAGGCCCUGCUUUUGUGGGGUGCUCGAGUGGCGAACGGGUGAGUAACACGUGAGUAACCUGCCCUUGACUUUGGGAUAACUUCAGGAAACUGGGGCUAAUACCGGAUAGGAGCUCCUGCUGCAUGGUGGGGGGUGGAAAGUUUCGGCGGUUGGGGAUGGACUCGCGGCUUAUCAGCUUGUUGGUGGGGUAGUGGCUUACCAAGGCUUUGACGGGUAGCCGGCCUGAGAGGGUGACCGGCCACAUUGGGACUGUGAUACGGCCCAGACUCCGAGGGGAGGCAGCAGUGGGGAAUAUUGAACAAUGGGCGGAAGCCUGAUGCAGCACCGCCGCGUGCGGGAUGACGGCCUUCGGGUUGUAACCCGCUUUCGCCUGUGACGAAGCGUGAGUGACGGUAAUGGGUAAAGAAGCACCGGCUAACUACGUG